rnacentral:rRNA from 1 species
AUUGAACGCUGGCGGAAUGCUUUACACAUGCAAGUCGAGCGGCAGCGCGGCCUUCGGGCUGGCGGCGAGCGGCGAACGGGUGAGUAAUGCAUCGGAACAUGCCCAGUCGUGGGGGAUAACACUUCGAAGGAAGUGCUAAUACCGCAUACGUCCUGAGGGGGAAAGCGGGGGAUCGAAAGACCUCGCGCGAUUGGAGGGGCCUAUGUCAGAUUAGCUAGUUGGUGGGGUAAAGGCCUACCAAGGCGACGAUCGGUAGCUGGUCUGAGAGGAUGAUCAGCCACACUGGGACUGAGACACGGCCCAGACUCCUACGGGAGGCAGCAGUGGGGAAUUUUGGACAAUGGGGGCAACCCUGAUCCAGCCAUUCCGCGUGAGUGAAGAAGGCCUUCGGGUUGUAAAGCUCUUUCGGCAGGAACGAAACGGUGGGCUCUAACAUAGUCCGCUAAUGACGGUACCUGAAGAAGAAGCACCGGCUAACUACGUG